UGGGGAAUAUUGCACAAUGGGCGCAAGCCUGAUGCAGCCAUGCCGCGUGUGUGAAGAAGGCCUUCGGGUUGUAAAGCACUUUCAGCGAGGAGGAAGGUGGUGAACUUAAUACGUUCAUCAAUUGACGUUACUCGCAGAAGAAGCACCGGCUAACUCCGUGCCAGCAGCCGCGGUAAUACGGAAGGUGCAAGCGUUAAUCGGAAUUACUGGGCGUAAAGCGCACGCAGGCGGUUUGUUAAGUCAGAUGUGAAAUCCCCGGGCUCAACCUGGGAACUGCAUUUGAAACUGGCAAGCUAGAGUCUCGUAGAGGGGGGUAGAAUUCCAGGUGUAGCGGUGAAAUGCGUAGAGAUCUGGAGGAAUACCGGUGGCGAAGGCGGCCCCCUGGACGAAGACUGACGCUCAGGUGCGAAAGCGUGGGGAGCAAACAGGAUUAGAUACCCCCGGUAGUCCACGCUGUAAACGAUGUCGAUUUGGAGGUUGUGCCCUUGAGGCGUGGCUUCCGGAGCUAACGCGUUAAAUCGACCGCC
rnacentral:rRNA from 1 species